GACGAACGCUGGCGGCGUGCCUAAUACAUGCAAGUCGAACGGUCUUUUCUAUGGAAGCUUGCUUCCACUGAGAAGAUAGUGGCGAACGGGUGAGUAACACGUGGGUAACCUGCCCAUAAGAGGGGGAUAACAUCCGGAAACGGGUGCUAAUACCGCAUAGUUUUCUUGAUCGCAUGAUCGGGAAAGGAAAGACGGCCUUUGUGCUGUCGCUUAUGGAUGGACCCGCGGCGUAUUAGUUAGUUGGUGAGGUAACGGCUCACCAAGACGAUGAUACGUAGCCGACCGGGGAGGGUGAUCGGCCACAUUGGGACUGAGACACGGCCCAAACUCCUACGGGAGGCAGCAGUAGGGAAUCUUCCGCAAUGGACGAAAGUCUGACGGAGCAACGCCGCGUGAGUGAAGAAGGUUUUCGGAUCGUAAAACUCUGUUGUCAGAGAAGAACAAGUUGGAGAGUAACUGCUCCAGCCUUGACGGUAUCUGACCAGAAAGCCACGGCUAACUACGUGCCAGCAGCCGCCGCGGUAA
rnacentral:rRNA from 1 species